GUGUCAGCCGCCGCGGUAAUACGUAGGUGGCAAGCGUUGUCCGGAUUUACUGGGCGUAAAGGGCGUGCAGGCGGUCUGUUAAGUGCAGGGUGAAAGCUCCCGGCUCAACUGGGAGAGGUCCUUGCAUACUGGCGGACUUGAGGGGGGUAGAGGAAAGUGGAAUUCCCGGUGUAGUGGUGAUAUGCGUAGAUAUCGGGAGGAACACCUGUGGCGAAGGCGGCUUUCUGGGCCCUACCUGACGCUGAGACGCGAAAGCGUGGGGAGCGAACCGGAUUAGAAACCCGCGUAGUCC
rnacentral:rRNA from 1 species